rnacentral:rRNA from 1 species
GAUGAACGCUGGCGGCGUGCCUAAUACAUGCAAGUCGAGCGAACAGACGAGGAGCUUGCUCCUCUGACGUUAGCGGCGGACGGGUGAGUAACACGUGGAUAACCUACCUAUAAGACUGGGAUAACUUCGGGAAACCGGAGCUAAUACCGGAUAAUAUAUUGAACCGCAUGGUUCAAUAGUGAAAGACGGUUUUGCUGUCACUUAUAGAUGGAUCCGCGCCGCAUUAGCUAGUUGGUAAGGUAACGGCUUACCAAGGCUACGAUGCGUAGCCGACCUGAGAGGGUGAUCGGCCACACUGGAACUGAGACACGGUCCAGACUCCUACGGGAGGCAGCAGUAGGGAAUCUUCCGCAAUGGGCGAAAGCUUGACGGAGCAACGCCGCGUGAGUGAUGAAGGUCUUCGGAUCGUAAAACUCUGUUAUUAGGGAAGAACAAAUGUGUAAGUAACUAUGAACGUCUUGACGGUACCUAAUCAGAAAGCCACGGCUAACUACGUG